AGUUGUUCAGCUUUAAUUCUUACAACUGGCUCGUUUUAGAAAUGAGGAAGCUGAGGUUUAGAAAGCUUAAGAAAUUUAUGGAGUUGCAGAGCGGCAUCUGAACCCUGGUCUGGGACCUCAUAUCCCCUUCACAACUAUUCUUGUGUUUCAGGGCAAGAUAUUGGAACAUGAACCAGGUCUGGGGCCAUGUAUCCAGUAUCUCUCUGCUUCCAAAAACCUAACUAUUUCUCUCUGCCAAUGGAAAGAAGUGCAUCUUUUACAACGAAAGAAAAACAAAUCAUCCUUCAGCAGGAAGAAAAGUGCUCUCUCUUGAAGCUUGGUCAGAAUGUUCUGCUUAACACCUUAACACCGGAACAGGGGUCUGCAACUCCUGUUUCCCAGGAUUUCUCUUCUCCCUCCCCUACUCACCCCUGCCUUCUAAGCCAAGGCUGCCUACUUGCCCAGAUCUCCAGAGGAGUGAAUUCCUUCCCUGCAUCCUGGAUCACCUUCGUCACGGUUAAUCUCUCCAAAGGCCAUAUCUAGUAAACAUGAGUUGUCUCUAGCUCUCUUGGAAAUUGUUUGUGAACUUGCCUUGGAUUCAUCCGUCUCCAUGUACAUGGAAAUGUGAUUUAUGUAUUCAGUUUAAGUGGACUGUUUAGGGGCCUUGUUAUUCUUGUAGAAAUCUUAUUCAUUGCCUGAGAUCUGAAGAAGAAACUUCUUUGUAACAGCCAAAAUAAUCUUCAGGUCAGUUGCAAUUUAAAAAUAAGGGCAUCCCUUUGUUCUCUUUUUCAGAAAGAUAAAUGUUAAAUCCACUUCAGCUGAAACUUUAAGGGAAAAAAUACAAUUAAAACUUUGCUUAGAGCUGAUUUUGAAUGCUGAAUAUUAAAUGCCAUCAACAAUAUAAAGGUCAGUUUUUAAUUCAGGAAACUUUGAUUAAACAUCUGCCACAUGUAAGCAAGAAUU